CCCAUAGAACAGGAGGACCAGGGACACCCAGCUCCUCAGGAUGCACUGCAGCCCAGUGCCCGCGGCCCCCACGCGUGACACACGGCAUCCUCGGAUCACGUGAUACCUAACCCUGCGGGUGAUAUCCUUGGUGCCGUGUGGCUCAGGGAACGAGGACCAUGAUGGGUAGGCUCAGCACAGAUGAGGUUUUUUAGGUGCCUUUAAUCUGCAGCGGGUUGGUCCCUGCACUGGGGCCACGGGGACCUCUCUCCACCUACAGCCCAGGACAAUCUGAAGAAUGGGCGGGUCGCUCCAGGCGUCUGGUUGUCCUGUGCGAACAGACCCACCCACCGCUUGAACAUUUGGUUUGAAUAUUUACAUUGAUACUUGCCAGCGAGUGUUUGAACGUCCGUGUGUCUAGUAUUUUGAAGGUUUUAAUGAACAUUUUCCUUAAGAAGUAGGUGGCUUGUGCUUGUCUAAUGGUGUUUAGGCAGCAUUUAGCUCAUGGAAUGCACUGUGUCAAAAACAGAGAAAAAGGACAUAUGGGAGCCAUCCCCAAAGAACUUACUGCCUUAAACACAGAAGGAAGAAGGCAGGCACCAAAAAGAAAAAAAUGCAGAAAGGCGCCCCCAGGAGCCCUGAGCGUCCACUGGAGCACAGCGGCAUUGGAGAUGGACACACCCCAGGGCCUGGCCCGACCCGCUGUGCCUGUGAGCACGCAGCUCGUCCCCUGAGGGACCCCAAACAGAUGUUUGAGCUUGAGUCUGCACGUGAGGGUCCCAGGGCCAAUAGGGAGCCCAGGAGCAAAGGCCAAGACCCAUGAACAGGUGGCCACUGGUCCAGCCAGUGCCUGGAGGCGUGGGCAGCAGGUGGGGACCCAGUGCCUGGCCCCAGGUAAGAUCCCCUGAAGAAGAUGAGGGGAGUGGCAGCGAGACUGUGAAACAGGAGCCAGUGUCACCACUGCAGCCAAAUCAGUGAGGCCAUCGGACACCAGCACGGCCCUGUCCUAGCUCCUCUCUGAGGCGGGUAGCCCUGGAGGCUCAGUGUAGCUGGAGUCCUCAACAAAUGAUCCAACGACUAGUUCCUGCUGGCCCCGAUGGCCCUGAACUUGCAUAGCUCAAUGACACACAGAUUAGAGACUUGCGGGCACAUUGCUCCCACCCCUUCAGAGAUGACCGCUCCUCCCCAACUCUUCCUCUCUAAGCCUCCCCAACAGGUGACACGUGGCUGGAGGGGGAUAUAGUCAUUGUCCCAGUGCGAGAAGUGUCCUGGUGACGCCUGCCUCAUACUUACCUACGGUUGUCACUCAACAAGCAACACAAUGAUGAUGCAGAAAUCACAUGGCCACUCAGCGGAGCCAGGCCCUGCCUUCCUCCCUGGCCAACACUUCCCUGGCCUUGGGUUUCUGAGCUGCAGAGCUCCAAAGAGGCUGAGCGCCCUGCAGCUGCCCCUGGGAUGCAGCAGGCUCCAGGGAAGUGCCACUUCCUACGGCCAGAAUCAACAUUUUCUGUUGAAUGUUUAGAAGGCAAAGGCCAUUGAGAGGGUACCCAGAAAGGCCCUCCUGCCAUACAGUGUCCCUGUGGCCUCAGCUCACCAGGACUGCAGGAGGAGCAUAGGGCUGGGGACCCAAGCAGCCGAGUCAGGGAGCACUGGAGUGAAUGUGCCCGGCUUGGAGCCCACAGGAAGGGCUGGAGGUGAGGAGCAGGCCCGAGGGAAGGGGAGGAGCCAGCAGAGCCAGCAGAAGCCCACGCAGGCCACAUGUCCGUCACUCUCCCGGGGUCCACACUCCCGUUCACGGGCCAACGUCUGGAUCUGGUGGUGACGAGGCUGCCCCAGGAUGCAGUGAGUGGUCGUGCUGACUGCCCAGUGCCCCAGCCACGUGGCUGCCCCUUAUCCCCUGCAGGUCACCUCGGGGACACCAAGCACCCUGCCAGUUGCGGCUCUGCUUGUGGUUUUCGUCCUUCAAACGUGUGAAGCAAACCAACGUUGAGACGGAUGGACGCGAGCACGUGGUGGCGCCACACCAUCGAGAGAGACAGCAAACGUGUUAGGUCACCGUGGUGUGUAAUUCAACCAAACAGACUCGCCUUUCCUCCGGCCACGUCAUUUGGUGUCAUGGUAAGAACAGCAGGCUGGUGUCAGAGAGCGGGGUGCUCCCGUCCCUGUGUGAGAAGGAUGAAUUGGUCCUGUCCCCUCCACACCCUGAGAGCCCUCCUCGUCUUCUGCUCACCGUAAAAAGCAGGGAAGUGGGCACUUGCCCACUGCAGCCCCCAGGUCCCUGCAGGCGAGGGACUGCACCGUCCCGAGCAGCCUCUACCCACUCGUGUUUGCAGUGCUCAGUGCGGCCGCUCCCGAGCUCUACCUUGGCCUUUCGCAAUCCCACAUGCUCUUACUAAGGAAAUCCCUCUGCCACGUGUGAGUCACCAAGUCCCACUCAUUACUCCAGCCGAGACCCUGCUCCCGACUGUGCUCUCUGCCCAGCUCGGACCCUGUCCUCCACUGGACGAGGCCCCGCACCACGCACUCAGCAGGUCCACAGGGGGAGAUGGCACCUCUUGGCCUAAGUCUUCUCGGAUGCCACUGCGUCCUCCUGGGCUCCUCCUUCCUGGAGCCUGCCCCCUCCCAUCUCAGUUCCUCUGCAGCUGUCCGGCGUCCCCCCACCCCACCCCCUGCACACUCCUGGGUGGCACACUGGCCCAGACAUGCCAGCCUUCCGCUCUCCUCUGGGUGUGGAAUGCAGGCUCCUCUGCCUUCCCCCUGCUGCCCGUGCUGGCCAGUGCCACUCUGGACUAGCUCCUGAGCCCUGGGCUCCAGUGCUCUGGUCACACAGCUGUGACCCCGGGACCCCAGGGCUUCUCAGAGCCCUGUGUGCCCUGCCUGCAUGCAGAGAGUCUCGUGGCGAGUGCUCGAUGCCCGUGGCUGAUGUGAAGAGCAGGUGAGUGGGGAAGGUGGUGAAGAAAUAGGCAGGGACAGGAAAGUGACCGUUCCAGGGGACACACACAUGGACGGAGCCUCAGGAGCUCCGGAAUGUGCCCGUAGGAACUGGAUCCCAGGCGAUCUGGAUAGGAGCUGGAGCCCUAGAGGCCAGCAGGCUCGGGGGUGGUGUGCUCACAAAUGGGGUUCGUGCCUCAUGAGGGAGGCCACAGAGAGCUGGGAGGCCUCUGUCAUGAGAUGACCCAGGGAGAAGUGCCGUCCAUGAACUGGGAAGAGGCCUCAGCAGACACACAACCUGCCGGCACCUGGCCUUGGACUUCCAGCCUCUGGAACCGUGGGGAACGCGCUCCGGCUGCUGGUCUGCCGCCCUGUUUAGAGUAUCGUCACAGAGCUGGGUGGAGAAACAGGCAGGAGGGUUAAUGUCAUCAUCAUUUCUAUAAUUAGGACUCUUUCGACUUCUUACUCAGCUACGUCUGUUUUAGACCAGGGCCUCUGGCAUGUGGGCAAGUGCCCUGCCCCUGACCCUCCUGGGGGCUCCCUCCUGCCAGCUGUGCCCACCCGAGGCAGCACUGGACGAGACAGAGAAAGCUGCCCUCGGGGGAAUUCCAGGUCAGGGGCCCAACGAGCCCCGAAAGCCUAAAGUACCCCACGAAGUGACAAAUACAGAGGGGACGCCGAAGAUGGGCACAGGGACUACGACAUGGGCAGCAGAGGUGGGUGGCCUGAGAGCUGGCCCCUGAGCGAUGGACAGCUGAGGGUGGGUGGCCUAGAACUGUCCCCCUGAGUGAAGACGGUCAGGGGCGAUCCCUAUAAGGAGGAGCCCCCCUCCUGCUGCGGGCACAUUCCAGGUGGAGAAACAGACUCGGGUCCUGCUCUGGGACCAGAGUGCAGGUUACAGAAGAAGGCCACUUGUCACCCCAGUCCUGCAGCACGUCAGAGCAGGCCUAAGUGCAGAGGGACCCAUCCAACCUGGCUCUGGGAACAGAAAGCCUUCAGGAUGGGAGGGAAGAGAGAGAAGCUCAAGGACAGGGAGGGACUAUGGGUGCCCGUGGGGAGCGGCCACCCCUCUCCUGCCUUGGUACCGCCACACCUUGGGUUUCCAGCUUCCUGCUAGGCACUCUGCGUCCGCAGGGCUGGGUGACCACCUCAUUAGGAAUCCUGCCGAGCCUGGCCUCCCCUGCCUGAGGGGCUGGCUGGCCGCAGGCUCCCUGAAGUGCUGGCCAGAGGCCAGCAGGCGUGUCCCCGACUCAAUCGGGCACUGUCCAUGCACCCAGGUCACCCGCACCCUGCAGGAGCUGUGGAGCCUCAGACAAGAGGGUCUCAGAGAAGAAGUUGGCCACUGGCCCCGUGGUACCAAGAAGAGUCUGAAGGGGGUUCUUUCCAGUAAGAGGGAAGUGACCCUAGAGAUGGGCUCACAGCCGAGGCUGCACCGUGCGGAGGCUGCAGCAGAGUGUGGGCACUCUGCCCCAGGGCUCACCUCCUGCAUGUUCCUGUGCCGCACCUUGAGUGCUCGCCCGUCCUGAUGGCUGGUCCUCAGGCCUGCCCUGCACCAGGGCCUAGAGAGGAGGUGCAUCUGAAGGAGCCAUGGCCCAGGGGACGGGGGACAGGGACUUCACAAGCCCCCAGCUCUCCUGAGCAGCCCUGUGGUGCCCACGCCAUGCCACCUGCAGCAAGCCCACCCCUUCCCCUGCUCCAUUCCUCACGCUCACCGUUCCUUUGUUGAAAAGCUAACCCUGGGCCACCUCAAGGCCCAUCUGUCCCCACCAGUGUGAGUUUGACUCAUGGGACUCUGUCCUCAGCUGAGGCAGUGGGAACUGAAAAGCCUGAUGGGAAGGAGAGGGACCUGAACAAGCCGGGUGGCCAGGGCCCUGAUCCUGGGACUCAGCAGGAUGCCCGGGCUGUGCACUGCACCCAGGGCCACAGGGCCACUGUCCGUGGCCAACAGAGCAGACCUGGAACAGAGGGUAGCAGUGUGGGGUCCUGAGUGGCCUUCCAGGGCUCACCCUGGCUCUCUGGUCCUCAGAAGCAGUGAGGUGCCUGAGCUUCUUGAAGUUGAGGUCUCCCCACAGGCAGGGCAGUGGGCUGAGAGGGGAUGUCUGGGGACUUGCUGCAGUCCUUUGCAACCUGGCUCCAGGUGACAGUGCCAUCUAGACUCAGGCCCCAGGCCCAUAAUGGGUGGCAGUGGUGACAUUGAGCCAGUCCACACCAUAGCCUCCUUGCCUUGUGAGGUGAGGCAGAGCUGGCCUCCGGGGCAGAGGGAUUGUCCAGCCUGGGUGCUGAUCACCUGUGGUGGGCAGGGAGGCUGCCCAGCACCAGGCACCAGAUGUGAUGGGACCCACAUCCACUUCUUCCCACUCCUGGAACCAUCCAAUGGCAGCUGACGACGACUGACUAACUUUAGACACAGUGAGUUCACAAUGUGAGGCGAAGUCCCCAGGACCUUGGUACGUGCUCUGCCUUACGUAUCCCAGGAUGUUCACAGCACGUACAACAUGUGUGUACACAGACACACUCAAGCAAUGACACACACACGUAAUACACAAGCCUACAUGACUCACACACCCGAAUGCUGAGACACACAGGUCACACACAAGUACACACUCACACCAACACUGACACACACUGGCUGUGUACACUCACACCUUCCUGCACACUGGAGCUCGCCUUCACUGCUGCACAGGCCGGGCGGGGAGCAGUCUGAAGACAGAGGCUCUGCAGAGGGAACAGCCUGAUGGGAGCCACCAA